rnacentral:tRNA from 1 species
GCCGGGGUGCUGGAAUGGUAGACAGAUCAGUCUCAAAAACUGGUGUCCGCAAGGGCGUGAGAGUUCGAGUCUCUCCCCCGGCA